rnacentral:rRNA from 1 species
AUGGCGGGAUUCGCACACAGGCGUGGAGGCCAUGGCCGUGGCGGGUUGCCGCCACGUAAGAUCUUGCAUGGCGGCGCGGUGGCCAGCAACUCCCUCCGCUCCCCCACCCCCUGGUCGAAGCUUGGCGGUCGGAGAAAGCGCUGCAGCGCGGCCGCCUCUUCUGAAGAGGCGGGCGAUCAACUUGGGCCUACUUCGACCGGCUCCAUGAGGAGCUCUACCCGCACACCGUGGCUUGCCGUAGGACAGAUGCAGAGCUCCUUGUCGCAACGAGCGUCAUCGAGGCCGAAGAAGCAGGGACCGCCGAGAGGCUGGCGGCGAAGGAGGAGCACGCCUUCGCCCACGCUUGCCCCCAGUCGGCGGAGGCGUUCUUCCUUGGCAUCAAGCACUAAGCCGUCGUCGUUCCUGCGGCUAGAUCUAUGUUUAUCUAUGUGCACUUAG